ensembl:lncRNA
AUGGUUGGACCUGAUCUCAAAGUGUUGCAAUGCGGGGCCUCCGGGCCGGGCGGGGCGCUGUGGCGCUCGGCCAGUAGGGGGCGCGCGGGAGCGGAGGCCCCACGGGGCGGCCGUGCGCGCGUGCGGCCGCGCGGCUCUGGGCUUCCGCGCGCGCGACGAGCGGAGCGUGGACCCUGCGCCGGCUUCGGCGACCCUCCGGCCCGGAAUUGGGCUCCCCCAGGCGGCCACCUCGGCCGCGGGGCCGCGGAGACUGGGCGCCGGGGCGGAGGCAGGGGACCGGCGAGCGCAGGAGGGUCCCGCCUCGCCGUAUGCAGUGCGCGGGACUGCGCCUCCGCUUUCUGGGGAGACGGGGCGGUGUCAGGACUUGGACUAUGUUCCUGAUUUGUUCAGACUGCCAUGGCUCCAUAUAUAAAGGACAUUCACCAAAAAGUUUGGUUGGAAAAGCAAUGACUUUGACUUAUUAGAAGCUAGAAGGUAAAACUAAUAAUAAUAUUAGUAUCAAUUUUCUCUUAAUUAUAUAACAGUAAUUUUUCCUUAAGCUUUACAGAAAUUAAAAUAUAUGUGUCUUGUAGGUUAUGCUAAAUACAUCCUUAACUGAACAUAGUUCACAAUUUUAAGGCUAAAAAAUGUCUUAAACAAAGAUUCAAGAGAUUUUAUGAAACAAAGUCGCCAUCAUUUCUUGAGUGUAUUCUAUUGACAGUGAAAGUGUUGGUUGCUCAGUCAUGUCUGACUCUUUGUGACCCCAAGGACUGUAGCUCAGCAGGCUCCUGUGUCCAUGGGGACUCUACAGACAAGAACACUGUAGUGGGUUGCCAUUCCCUUCUCCAGGGGGUCUUCCUGACCGAGGGAUAGAACCUGGGUCUCUUGCAUUGCAGGCAGAUUCUUUACCAUCUGAACAACCAAGGAAGCCCAUUGGUGCAUCACAAAAUUUUUAUUCCUAGAAUUUAUUUAUUAGGUAGAUAUUGUUAUACCCAUGUGAAAGAUGAGGAAAUUGAUAUAUAACAGAGUUCUAUAACUUUCCCAAACUUAUGGACAGUUAAGUGAUGAGUGAUGGAGCCUGGAUUCACACAGGCCAAAAAGAUAAAACUCAGUAUAUUUUAUGUAUUGUUGAUUCUAUGUUGAUUAAAGCUCUCAACUCUUAAAUAAAAGCUUCAGAUCUUCCAGAUUUUUGGAGAGUGAAUUUUAACAAUGAAUUGUUGCUAAGUUUUAGUCCAUUAAUAUAUCAAAUAGGAUAGAAAUAUUCUAUAAGUUGUCUCUCCUACUCUAUAACAUAAUGAAAAUAUCACACUUCAAGUAUGAUAAUAAUUUACACGUUGAAGCAUUUUGCAGUGUUAAUAGUGUUUUCACAUAUGUUUUCUCAGUUCAUUCUUACAUCUAUACCAGAAAGGCAUUAGCCUCGUUUUGCUUAGUCUGCCACUUGGCCCCAGUUCCUGUGGUUCUUAGACCAGUGGAUUUUCUACUAUUUCAAGAUAGCCUUUCUACAUUUUAACUUGCUUUAUCAAAACAAACCAAAGAAAAUGGCACCUUUCCCACUUUUAUGGUGAUAACUUCAAAAAUCAACUUUAUUUAUAACCUAUUAUUUUAUAUUUGCCCAAUUAUUGGUGGCUCAGAUGUAAUCAAAUGGUGAUCAAAACUAUCCAAGAAUGCAAAAUGGCAAAACGGGUUGUCUGAGGAGACCUUACAAAUAGCUGAGAUAAGAAGAGAAGUGAAAGGUAAAGGAGAAAAGGAAAGAUAUACCCAUCUGAAUACAGAGUUCCAAAGAAUAGCAAGGAGAGAUAAGAAAGCCUUCCUAAGUGAACAAUGCAAAGAAAUAGAGGAAAACAAUAGAAGGAAAGACUAGACAUCUCUUCAAGAAAAUUCAAGAUACCAAGGGAACAUUUCAUGCAAAGAUGGGCAGAAUAAAGGACAGAAUUAGUAUGGACCUAACAAAAGCAGAAGAGAUUAAGAAGAGGUGGCAAGAAUACAUAGAAGAACUAUACAAAAAAGAUUUUCACGACCCAGAUAAUUAUGAUGGUGUGAUCACUCACCUAGAGCCAGACAUCCUGGAAUGUGAAGACAAGUGGGCCUUAGAAAGCAUCACUACAAACAAAGCUAGUGGAGGUGAUGGAAUUUCAAGUUCUAAAAGACAAU